GAUGAACGCUGGCGGCGUGCCUAAUACAUGCAAGUCGAGCGAACAGACGAGGAGCUUGCUCCUUCGACGUUAGCGGCGGACGGGUGAGUAACACGUAGGUAACCUACCUAUAAGACUGGGAUAACUUCGGGAAACCGGAGCUAAUACCGGAUAAUAUUUCGAACCGCAUGGUUCGAUAGUUAAAGAUGGCUUUGCUAUCACUUAUAGAUGGACCUGCGCCGUAUUAGCUAGUUGGUAAGGUAACGGCUUACCAAGGCAACGAUACGUAGCCGACCUGAGAGGGUGAUCAGCCACACUGGAACUGAGACACGGUCCAGACUCCUACGGGAGGCAGCAGUAGGGAAUCUUCCGCAAUGGGCGAAAGCCUGACGGAGCAACGCCGCGUGAGUGAUGAAGGUCUUCGGAUCGUAAAACUCUGUUAUUAGGGAAGAACAACCGUGUAAGUAACUGUGCACGUCUUGACGGUACCUAAUCAGAAAGCCACGGCUAACUACGUG
rnacentral:rRNA from 1 species